UACAGAGGUCUCAAGCGUUGUUCGGAUUCAUUGGGCGUAAAGGGCGUGUAGGCGGCGCGCUAAGUCGGGUGUGAAAUUUCGGAGCUUAACUCCGAAACUGCAUUCGAUACUGGCGUGCUUGAGGACUGGAGAGGAGACUGGAAUUCAUGGUGUAGCAGUGAAAUGCGUAGAGAUCAUGAGGAAGACCAGUGGCGAAGGCGGGUCUCUGGACAGUUCCUGACACUGAGGCACGAAGGCCAGGGGAGCAAACGGG
rnacentral:rRNA from 1 species